rnacentral:rRNA from 1 species
GACGAACGCUGGCGGCGUGCCUAAUACAUGCAAGUCGAGCGAAUCAAUAGGAGCUUGCUCCUUUGACGUUAGCGGCGGACGGGUGAGUAACACGUGGGUAACCUACCUAUAAGACUGGAAUAACUCCGGGAAACCGGGGCUAAUGCCGGAUAACAUUUAGAACCGCAUGGUUCUAAAGUGAAAGAUGGUUUUGCUAUCACUUAUAGUUGGACCCGCGCCGUAUUAGCUAGUUGGUAAGGUAACGGCUUACCAAGGCAACGAUACGUAGCCGACCUGGGAGGGUGAUCGGCCACACUGGAACUGAGACACGGUCCAGACUCCUACGGGAGGAAGCAGUAGGGAAUCUUCCGCAAUGGGCGAAAGCCUGACGGAGCAACGCCGCGUGAGUGAUGAAGGGUUUCGGCUCGUAAAACUCUGUUAUUAGGGAAGAACAAACGUGUAAGUAACUGUGCACGUCUUGACGGUACCUAAUCAGAAAGCCACGGCUUACUACGUGCCAGCCGCCGCCGUAAGAC